AUGGGCGCUGCCCACGACGACGGCGACGGCGACUUCGCCGCCACGCCCGCGCCCGCGCCCGCGCGCGGCCGGGGCGGGGUGUACCAGGUGGCGGGCCUGCGGGUGGAGUUCCCCUACAAGCCGUACGGCACGCAGCUGGCCUUCAUGGGCCGCGUCAUCGCCACGCUCGACCGCGGCCGCCGCCAGGGCCGCUCCCACGCCCUGCUCGAGUCGCCCACCGGCACCGGCAAGUCGCUCUCCCUCCUCUGCGCCGCGCUCGCCUGGCAGCGCCAUUACCCGCUCCGCGCGCCCCCCGCCCCCGCCGCCGCAGACCCCCUCCUCUACGGCGGCGGCUUCGUCCCCGACGACACCCAGCAGCAGCAGCCCACCCCCGGCGUCCCGGAGAAGGCGGCGGCGGCGGCCAAGAAGAAGAACGCGCCGACCAUCUACUACGCCACGAGGACGCACUCUCAGAUCACUCAGGUGGUCCGGGAGCUGCGCAAGACCUCGUACAGAGUGCGCAUGGCCAUCUUGGCCUCAAGGAAGCACUAUUGCGUCAACAAGACUGCAUGCAUGGCUGACUCAAUUGACGAGGAAUGCAAGAGGCUCCUAGAUGACAAAGUUCAAGGAUGCCCAGAAUUCAAGAAUGCACAGAAACUGAGUCGUCAUCCAUCCCUUCAGACCGGUGGCUCCUAUGAAGUUCAUGAUAUUGAGGAUCUUCUUAGGGUCGGACGACAAGUCAAAGGAUGUCCAUACUUUGCUGCGCAAACCAUGGCAGAAGCAGCUCAACUGGUUUUCUGCCCAUAUAACUACCUAAUUAGUCCAAUUGUCAGGAGAGCAAUGGACAUUAAUAUCGCUGGCUCAAUCGUUAUUCUCGAUGAAGCACACAACAUAGAAGACAUAGCACGUGAUUCUGGAAGUGUUGAUGUUGAUGAAGAAUCACUUAACAGUCUCAAGGAAGAACUAGCAAAGUUAGCCACUGAUCAGGCUGUUGGAAAGAUAUACCAACCCUUGCAUGACAUCAUUGAGGGGCUUAGCACUUGGAUUUCUGCUCAGGAGGGUGAUCCACGAGAUAACGAAUUUGACAAUCCUCCUUCAUUUUGGACUGGUGAAAAUGCUGUGAAGGAACUCCAGAAGGCCGGUAUUACUCCUGCAUACUUCCCAAUAUUGCAGGAAUGUGCGACGAAGGCAGUUAAGGCUGCUUCGGAUACUGAGUCAGAGGGAGACCACUUAACUGGUCGUGGUGCUAUGACACUGGAGAGUCUAUUCUCCUCACUGAGUCACUUUUUUGGUAGGAAUGGGCGCCAUUUGUAUGAUUACCAACUUGCUAUCCAACGGUUUGCUCACAGAGAAGGCACUUCUGCCUUUGGAGUGAGAAAUGUGAUGAGUUUGUGGUGCCUCAAUCCUGCUGUUGUUUUUCAAGACAUUGCAGAUCUAACCCAUUCAGUAAUAUUGACAUCUGGCACACUCUCUCCAAUGGGCUCCUUUGCAUCUGAACUCGGUGUACAGUUUGAUGCUUGCAUGGAAGCUCCUCACGUAAUCGAUGCUGAUUCUCAGGUUUUUGCUAGUGUACUGUCAUCUGGCCCAACAACACAUCGAUUGAAUGCCAGCUAUAAAACUGCAGAUGCAUAUUCUUUCCAGGAUGAACUUGGAGCUUCAAUAGAAGAAAUAUGCAGAAUAGUGCCUGGUGGUGCUCUAGUGUUUUUUCCUAGCUAUAAGUUGUUGGACAAACUGAAAGUGCGCUGGUCUCAGACUGGUCAGUGGGCACGAUUGAAUGCUCGAAAACCGGUGUUUGUUGAGCCUAGAGGUAGUACUGAGGAACUCGAGCCUGUCCUAAAUGGAUACUAUAAUGCAAUCCUUGGUAAGGUUCCUCUUAAGAAAGGCAGAGGUGGUGCAAAACAAAUUGUGAAGAAUCGAGUGAGAAAGAAUUCAUCACAGGAAUCUGCUAAAGGAGGAGCUGCUUUUCUUGCAGUUUGCCGUGGCAAGGUAUCUGAAGGAAUUGACUUCUCUGAUGACAAUGCUAGGGUUGUUGUCAUUGUUGGCAUUCCAUUCCCAAAUAUAAAUGAUGUCCAAGUAAAGCUGAAAAAGAAAUAUAAUGAUUCCUACAAAUCAUCAAAGAAUCUUUUGAGUGGGAGUGAAUGGUACUGUCACCAAGCAUUUCGUGCUCUGAAUCAAGCUGCUGGUCGAUGUAUUCGGCAUAAAUUUGACUACGGAGGCAUAAUUUUGAUUGAUGAGCGAUAUCAGGAAGAGAGAAACCUUCUACACAUUUCAAAGUGGCUUAAAAACUCAAUUAAGCAUUAUGGUAGCUUCCAGGAGACAAUGGAUAAGAUGGAGAAGUUUUUUCAGAAGGCUGAGGAGCAUAUUAAGAUCAAACGUCAAGAAAUGUCCACUAAGGAUAAGUUGGAUGACGAUCUACUUACAUCACACGGUGAUAAAAGAAAGUUGCAUUGGCCAGAACCAAAUUUCUCAAAACACUCAGUACUGCAAAGUAAUCAGAAGGGUAAUUUGGAUGACAAUCUACUUACAUCACACGGUGAUAAAAGAAUUCUGCCUUGGCCAAAACCAGAUUUCUCAAAGCAUUCAGUACAGCAAAGUAAUCAGAAGGUAAAGAACAAACGUGGCAGUCUGAAGGUUUCAAACAUUGAUGUUGUGGGAGUAGACCAUGAAAAUUAUGGCAGGCCUUGUAUAUCAUCCGAAGCAUGCCAGGUCUCUUCAAAAUCUUCUGACUUCACAAAGAAAAAAAGCUCCCCUGUACCAGGAAGUCUUUCAACAGCAUGCCAACUCCCUCCAUCGCAUAAAAUUCAGAAUAAUUUGGAAGACGAAUCAGACAUUGGGGGAAAUCAUGCAGUCGAUAUAAAUGUUAUCGACUUGGAAAUUUGCGAUUCUAUGUCUGGGCAUGCAAAGUUAACAAUCUUCACUCCACCAGAAGGCAGGUUGCAAGAGCCUACUUUUGUGGAAGGAACUUCUGCUGAGGAUCCAGUUGCUAGCCCCAGCAAUCGUUCUGAGGUAAAUACCUCCGCAGCGAUGGACAAUACUGAAGAUCAGGUCGUAGGCGUGUCUGCUUCGCUCUCAACAGCUAACAGAAACCAAUCUUGUGUGUCCACAUCAGCGGGUACUCCUGAAAGAACAGCUAAUAGAGGUUAUCAUCUGGAUCAUGAAUCUUCAAUGGACAGAAGCGUAAAUUCUCAGUACCAGAAAAGGAGAAGGUUUAAUAUACCAGUGAGCUGUUGUACUGGCGCAGAGCAUUCCAAUCCUUCUCUGAAUCCUUCUAAUCCUUCAAGCACAUCUUUCUGCAAUACUGAUUGUGCUGUUAGCAUGGCGCCCGGAGAUCUGAAGAGAACUGAUCGUCUGUGUUGUGAAAGUCUGAAAAUGUCCAGGUCUGAAAGAAGUCACAAGGCGGCAGAGUUUGCAUCAAAUAAAUCUGCAGGAACAAGGCUUGAUAUUCGUUGCACCACAUGCAAAACGCCACUUGGAUUACAGAAGGAUGGCUUUCUUGUUUCAUGUUCAUUGGCAUCGCCCUCAAAAUUGUACUUGACAUGUCUUUUGAGACAUGGGCUAUCAACUGUUGGCUUCGCAGAAGAUCUUAUGUCAUCGCCACCAGCUGUGGUAAAUGUUCUUGUAUGUGAUGCUUCUUCACUCAAUCAAGGGAUCCUUAGCAAAUUCUGCAGCGAAGGUUCUGCUCAUCAGUCUGGUGUUUGGUCUGAGAAGGAUGGAUGUGUAUACAAGCCAGUAACAUGUCCUUUCUGCCCUCGUGAAAAUUCUUUUGCCACGGUGCUCGGAGUGCAAGUUCUUGCAGCUGAUGCUUCAAAUCUGGAGUCAUUAAACAAGGUGCUCCUGUUUGCUGAUUGUUUGGAUCUCAAGCAUGAACCAUCAAAUGAACAGGUUGCAAGAGAUCAUACAGUUGCUAGUAACCUCAUGGGGACAGAUGCUAGUAAACCCAUGUCACCCCCACCGGUGAUCGAUCUUGAGAGUUUUGCUUAUAAACCAGUGAAGAAGGAACCUGUGUCACUAAGCACAAGGAGGUCCAAGCUUAGGUUACCUAGCACGGACAGAUCCACAAAACCACAACUGGUGCAUAACGUGGAGGACUCAUAG
rnacentral:rRNA from 1 species